GGUUUGUGUUUUUCCUCAACAUGUUCUUAUCUGCCGCCUGCGCUCUCUCGCUGGGCUGCACAGUGCUGGUGUUUCGGGGCUCCUUCUCUGCAGGCUGCCGCUGUCCCCAGGCCAGGCUGGUGACCCUGGUGUCACCAUCACCAGGUGCCACCAGAUCCACACCAGGAGCCUCUAUUACCUCCCCAUUGCCCACCAGGCCCCUUCCUUCGGGUUCCUAAACUGAGAUGUUUUUUCCCCUUAUCUUAGCACCUGCUCAGCUGUCUUGGGGCCACCCAGGAGAGUUUCUUGGGGGGGUUCUUACCCCUCUGCCGCCUACCUGAGAAGGCAGAGAUGAGCACACUGGGGUAAAACCAGGUGCUGCUGGUGGGGAGGAGGGCACUUUCCUCUUCUUUCUCAUUUACCCUCUCCCAGACUUGCUCACAGUGCUGGGACCCCUCAGUGGUGUUCCUAUGGGGACAGAAGAGGUGACCCAGCCCAGCCUUUCAUGGGCAUCAAUUAUGGGCCAAGAGCCAGCUGGCAUCUCCAGAGCGGAAUGGGUGCAAAGUAUCCUACAUAGGCAACACAUACAGCACCAAAGUUCAUCCAUGUGGUCAAUGCCAAGCCAAAGUGGACAAAGCCCUGCCCCUGGAGACACUCAAGGUUGGGCUGGAAGGGCACCGAGCACCUGAUUGAGCUGUAGGUGUAGGUGUUCCCCCACUGCAGGGGGGUUGCUUUAAGAGCCCCUUCCAACCCAAGUGAUUCUAUGGCUCUAUGAUUCUAAGCCUGUUAUAGAGUUGCUGGUGAGAAAAAAACCAUCACUGAAACGGCUCUAGGGGUAUCAUCAUCAUCUUGGGGAGGUGUCACUGCUUGGAGGUGGGCACAGACAUGGUCUGUGGUGCAGCAGUUACCCAUUCUUCAUGGCCACGGUGGACAGAAAAUGGCAACGAAAAGAAUCAGGGUUAAAUACUAAAGAAAGAGGGAUCGUAUGGCAUUCUGCGAUCGUUCACCUGGAGAGGGAGUAGAGCUGGAACCCUGGGGGAGGAAAAAGAAAAGAGGGGCUGCGCCGGGUGGGAGGUCCCUGGGAGCCGGGCGUGGGCAUAGGGCCGCGCUGUCCUCUGCCUUGUGAGGUUCGGGCUCCAUCUACAGGGAGGUGCCUCCAAGAGGCGGAUGGAGCCCUUGGGCUGACGCAUGCCCAAAACGGGCCUGGCAGGGGCUAUGUCUUCUUGCCUGCUCGCGACUUCUGCAGCUUUUCUCCUGCUGUCCUCCUCUGAACUGUGCUCCCGUUGUGCACUGGUGGGAAGAGCUCGGGUGCAGAUAGAUCUGUAUGUUGCUGAAUCAAGGGGCCCGGAGUAUGCAAGACCGAGGUGCAACUUGGAGCUGGUUGCAGGGUGCUCCAGCCUCUGCCAAAGCUCACCCGUGGGCAAGGUGCCCCCGCCAAACAGCCUCAGCUCCUACGGGACCGAUGCUCCCAGCGGAGGACUGUGGUUAUUGCAAACAUGAAGUCCUGAAGCCUAGAGGAUCCCCCAGGGGAUGCAGCCUGUGUCAGGUGGUCGAAGUAAUAUCGGAUCAAAGUCUCAUCAAGGCAGCCUAAUUCACAUGCUCAGGUGUGAUAAAGCCGCAUGGCACCUCUAUUCUCUCUAGUUAGAAGAGGCUUAUCCAUAUCCUCACCCUUCCACCUGCCAGCAAUUGUAGGUGGGCGUGAAGCGGUUACAAGUCCCGCCUGGUUCACUUAGCUUUAAGAAAGCAGUAUUUAGUACAGGUAUAGGAAGCCCCUUGUUCACAGUCCCUCUGCCCUAGCCUAGGAUAAGGAAAGCUUUUAAUGCUUCCUCUGUGCCUUUAUUUCCUACCUCAUUCAUGCUCUGCCUCCUGUCUGUAUUGAGCUGCAGUGCUGAUGGCCCCAGCUGGAGCAUCAAUGUGUCUUUGUGAUGGGAUAACCAAGAGGGACUAAACUCUUCCUCAUUGCAGCCCCCUGCUCCUAGGGAGAUGUGCACCCUCCUGGUUCUCACCAUGCCUUUCCACCGUUCCAUUACUCUGAUGGCAGCUGGAUCCAGCAGAAGAUUCUCAGCUGAUGUUCCCUGUGUGACUGGUGCCAGCAAGCUGUGGAGAUGUGGCCUUUCCCUGGAAUGAGGAAUGCGUCAAGGAAAGUGCGGUUGCAUAUACUUAUGAACAUAUGGAGGCCCUGGAGUCACGCCACAUGGUUUGCCACUAAUUGAAAUGGGCUGGCUAACUUCUGAUUGUGGCCACCAGGAGCAACCCUAGGGGAGGGCACUGCAUGGAAUGGGUGCAGUCUUUCUUUCAAAGCAUGACUCCUCAUAUCCUGAUGUAUUGUGAACGGAUGGCAUAAGCUGGGUCUAGGUUGAGGGGUUCCUUCUACGUUUGGAGUGCUUGUCUCUUCCUCCAGGCACCUUGCCUGUGGAUUCCCUUAGCAUCUCUUUAACUCUUCACUCCUUGAAGGACUUAGCCUGUUCUUAAGAAACAACUGUGGGAAAGCACCGAGGGGAGGAUCCUCAGAACCUCUGUGAUUUUGCCAGAUACCCUACUGCAAACCUGUAGAGCUCUACUGGAUUCCUCAGGCCAUCUGCACGUGUCCAGGUUCGAGGCAUCUCCAGACCCAUGUCCGUAGAAAAAAGAGACAAUGAGAUAAAACUGAGACAAGAUCUGAGUUACUUGUGCAGUGAGGAUGUAAUGUGUAAGGAACAAAGAAAGACUGUGUUUUUCUAGAAGGAAAAUCCACAGGAACAGAGGAAUUUACACAGGGAAUUUCUAGAAACAAAAUGGGAUGCCACUGUUAUAAGGGAAACUAGGCUUUUAAAGUAAGGGUUCUGAAAAAAAAGUCGCAAACCCUAACAUCUAGAAUGUGCUGCUCUUGUAUCAUCAAUUGCUCAGAAACAAAAGGCUUCCCAUGUGGUUAAUUGUUUGGGUGUAAAGGGAAACAACGUGAUUGUCUAUCUUAUUUAUGGCUCGUGUAACAAGCAGGAGUUUUUUCCUUGAGUUGUUCUAGGAAUUUGCUUAUUGAAAAAGAAUAACAUCUGAUUUUGAUGUAUGACAUUGUUAAAAUAUUUUAGCGUAGGCUCAAAGUGUACGUAGGCUGACCCAUUCAUCAUCAGGCACUCAAGAUGUGCCCAAACUAUUUCAGGGUACGUCAAUAGUGAUGGUGUGAAGAUGUACUUUGCAGUUAUUUAACUCCAUCUUCCUUGGGCUGUUGAGUCUUGGGUAGAGCUCUAACUUUCCACUUACAGCUAUCAGCAUCUGAAGUCAAAUUUCACAGUGCCUUUGAAUGGAGAAGAACAUAUAAACAUCACUACAAAUAUGUAUACUGGGAAGCAGCUGAAAAUUCCAACGUGCCUACAACCAUCCUUAUUUAAUCUUUAUGUCCCACUGAUCUAAGAGACGAGAGACAGCAGCUGGACAAUGGGGUAAAAGAGAAGGGGGAGGUGACAAAGAUUGGGAGGCCAAUAAAAAUAAUGGGACGUGCAACUCCCAGCUGGCAGGGGACAGUAACCACAGCUUGCCAAUACACGUUAGACUUAAUAACCCACAGCACACAUUUCCAGUAUUUCCUUGAUCUUAAAAACAUUGGAUGAUAUAAAACAAAACAAAAAAAGCCAAUAACCUCUAUUCCUCUUUCUUGUCACACACAUUUGUGCCAGGUCCGUAAGGAGGUCGGGGAAGGAAAAGGCUUGUUGCACUUGGCAUAGCUGCA